rnacentral:rRNA from 1 species
UACAGAGGGUGCAAGCGUUGCUCGGAUUUACUGGGCGUAAAGCGUACGCAGACGGUGAGAAAGGUCGGAUGUGAAAGCCCCGGGCUCAACCCGGGAACUGCAUCCGAAACCAUCUCGCUAGAGUAUGAGAGAGGGAAGCAGAAUUCCCGGUGUAGUGGUGAAAUGCGUAGAUAUCGGGAGGAACACCAGUGGCGAAGGCGACUACCUGGCCUGUUCUUGACGCUGAGGCGCGAAAGCUAGGGGAGCAAACGGG